CUACGGUUUAUAUUACGUAUUUAUUCUCCUAAAUUUAAUAAAAAAAUACCCUUCCAUACUUGUCACUUAUAACCAUUUUGGGAGCCAUGUGAAUAACAAUUAUGCAUCGUUUACAAGUCAAACAUGUAUCCUUUAAAAAAAAAAAAAAAUUUUGACAAGAAAAUAAAAGUGAUUUUGUCUAAUCCAAAACUUAUUCUACCUGUUAAAAAGUUAAAAAGAAUUUCCCUACAUAUAUAAUCAAAAGUUGAAGCUUACAUUGCUUCAUUUCCAUUCAUAAGAGUAGUAAGAGAUGGAUUUGUUGGGGAUCUUCAUUGUUCUACUUUCCAUUGCAUGGCUAAUUUCAAUGAUCUCAAAAACAAGACCAAUUACCAACCUCCCUCCCGGCCCAAAGCCAUUGCCACUCAUCGGCAACCUUCUUGCUCUCGGCGAUAAACCCCACCAAUCCCUAGCCAAUCUCGCCAAAUCCUAUGGCCCGAUCAUGACCUUGAAACUCGGCCAAAUCACCACCGUCGUCAUUUCCUCCUCCGCCAUGGCCAAACAAGUCCUCCAAACCCACGACCAAUUUCUCUCCUCCAGAACCGUCCCUGACUCCAUGACCACUCACAACCACGAUCUUUUCGGCCUCCCAUGGAUGCCCGUUUCACCUCUCUGGCGAAACCUCAGACGAAUUUGCAACACCCAGUUGUUCGCUGCCCGGAUUCUCGACGCCAACGAGAACCUCAGACGAGGCCAAGUGGCAGAGCUGGUGACAGAGAUAUCUAGAUGUGCUUUGAAAGGUAAUGAAACAGUGGAUUUUGGAAAAGUGGCGUUUGUGACUUCGGUGAAUUUGCUUUGGAAUACCAUUUUUUCGGAGGAUUUUGUGGACCCGAAUUCGAAAAUAGGGAGAGAGUUUAAAGUGGCUGUAAGAGGGGCUAUGGAAGAAGCUGCGAAACCGAAUUUUGGAGAUUAUUUUGCAUUGUUGAAGAGAUUUGAUGUGCAGGGGAUUAAGAAGAAACAGAGUGUUCAUUUUGAUAGGAUUUUUGAUGUGUUGGAGCAGAUGAUUGAUGAACGGAUUGAUGAGCAGAAAAAAAGUUGUGGUUCUAAUAAGAUUAAACAUGAUUUAUUGCAUUAUCUUCUCAAUCCUGGUGAUGAAAAUAGCGAAAUCAAGUUGGGGAGAAUUGAGUUCGAACACUUAUUAGCGAAAAACAAAUCAUAGAAAGGAAAAUAAAUAAUGUACUAUGAAGACUUAAACAUUGACAUGAAGGGACAUGUGAAUAACCAAGUACUAUUCAUUGCUGGAACCGACACAAGUUCUGCAACAUUCCAAUGGGCAAUGGCAGAACUAUUUAAAAACCCACAAAAGCUAUCAAAAGCUCAACAAUAAAUCCGAAGUGUAAUAGGAAAAUGAAACCCAAUUAGAGAAUCAGACAUUUCAAGGCUACCUUAUUUACAAGCAGUGAUCAAAGAAACUUUGAGAUGUCAUUCCCCUCCUUUUCUACUACCUCGUAAAGCAUUACAAGACGUCGAAAUAUCAGGUUUCACAAUCCCUAAAGACGCUCAAGUGCCGGUAAAUUUAUGGGCGAUGGGUCGAGAUUCGAACGUAUGGAAAAAUCCUGAAAUAUUCGAGCCAGAGAGGUUCUUAGAGAUGGAAAUUGAUAUUAAAGGCAGAGAUUUUGAGUUGGUUCCAUUUGGUGGUGGAAGAAGGAUUUGCCCUGAAUUGUCAUUGGCUAUGAGAAUGUUGCCUUUGAUGCUGGGUUCGCUUCUUCAUUUCUUUGAUUGGAAGCUUGAAGAUGGUUUUCGACCUGAUGAUUUGAAUAUGGAUGAAAAGUAUGGACUCACUCUUGAAAUGGCUUCUCCUUUGAGAGCUUUCCCACUUCUUGUCUAGUUUUACCUUCUUUUUUUCAGUAAAAACUAGUUUUAUGUUUUCUUUUAUGAAUGUUGAUUCUCAAAAAUAAAUAUGCAUGUAAAAUAUGAUGCUCCAAUUGAUAUGGCCAAUUUAAAUGCCUAUACGAUAAACUUAUGUAUGGGCCCAUAUACUAGGGUUUGUUUGCAUAAUGCACAAAAAUAAUUACGAAAA